UGGGUUUGAAUCCCAGCUCUGCCACUUAUUAGCUGUGUGAUCUUGGGCAA
rnacentral:miRNA from 1 species